rnacentral:rRNA from 1 species
CCUACGGGAGGCAGCAGUGAGGAAUAUUGGUCAAUGGACGCAAGUCUGAACCAGCCAUGCCGCGUGCAGGAAGACGGCUCUAUGAGUUGUAAACUGCUUUUGUACGAGGGUAAACGCAGAUACGCGUAUCUGUCUGAAAGUAUCGUACGAAUAAGGAUCGGCUAACUCCGUGCCAGCAGCCGCGGUAAUACGGAGGAUUCAAGCGUUAUCCGGAUUUAUUGGGUUUAAAGGGUGCGUAGGCGGUCGGAUAAGUUAGAGGUGAAAUCCCGAGGCUCAACUUCGGAAUUGCCUCUGAUAUGGUUCGGUUAGAGAGUAGUUGCGGAAGGAGGAAGGUAUGGUGUAGCGGGGAGUGGCU